rnacentral:lncRNA from 1 species
UGCCUCUGAAACACCUGUCAUUGUGCAGAGUGGCUGGAUAUUUUGUGUCCAUUUUAAAUUAUUUAAAUUAAUAAACCAUUGACAUUUGAGGAGUGAAGUGGAAAACAUUGACUCAUAUUUGCUCCUUUUACAUUGCAUGUGUAAUUUUUUUUGUUUAAAAUGUAACUCCAGUCAUACUGUAUGUUCUGCAAGGAUCAGUGUAGCUGCUGACAGUGGCUACUAGGGCAAACCUUUUACUGUUCAGUGACGUAUAAUGGCGCUUCAUUUUGUUUAUAGUGGUCUCUUGUUCUGCAGUGAUGGAAUAACCAUUAUGAGGAAACCAGUAAUUGCAUCCACCCCAGCAAACCAGUGAGUGAAAGUGCACCCGGUAGAGCAUCAUUGGACCAUCUAAUGAAGGGCUCCACUGGCCUCUACUGCAGACAUGCAGCAGCCCACCCACCUGUGUAGAAAUAGCAGCCUGCCAUGCAGCCUGAUGGACACGCAUCAAGAAUGCUUGAGAUCUGCACUCAGAAUCGCAGGCAUUUAAAAACAGUUGGCAGAUCCAGCAACAGCUCAAAGUGUCCUGAUCAUCUGCUACAAUAAGAGGCUGCCAUCUGAGAAACGCUGAGGUACAGUGCGCAGGCUCUCCCAGCGCUGUUCUCCAGCAUCAAACCCCAGAGCAACGCACAGCGGGUCUCGGCCAACACGUUCCAGGUUUGAUUGUCGGCCUGUGAACCCGAAGAAAAUUCUGAAAAUCAAACAUAUAGAGAGGACUGGAAGAAAAAAAUCUCCUGGAGAGCUCUUUUGGAGUGGGAGAGCUGCUGCGUUGUCUCUUUUUUUUUCUUUCACUGAACUCUCCUCAGAAGGUUAGAGGAGCAUGUAACUGAAACAAGUGGAGCCCUCAGUGAUUUCAGCAUUCUGUCUCCCCCAUCUGUGCCUACAUUCUCUGCUACAGAUAGGGACGUUUUGAUAAUUACAUAUAAUUAUAAUUUCUGUGGGAGACAGAUCUGCCUCUGUCUAUUAUUGCCAACACCUCCAACACAAUAACUUCACACAUUUACAUAUUUCUCAACAAAAGUGAUAUUCUUUGAACCUCGGAGACAAAUCAGGAAUAAUUUUGCUUAGAGAGAGACAUGUCACAUGGAGAAGCAAUGUGCCCUUCAUCUCACUUCUAAUUAGCUAUAUAGUUGAAUGAUACGGGGCGACUUUUUGUCCUGAAGUUGAAUGCAGAAAAUUUAAAAUCUAUGACAUUUGCCUCAUUUUGCAAUGUGUUUCACAGGCUGGGAGUCAUUUCCUCGGUUUAUGCUUACUCCAGUUUUUCAGUUGUUACAUUCUUCUAGCACUUAAGCCGAGCCUCCCUCAUUAUCGCCCCCAGCCCAGUCACAGUAACAGUCCGUACCAGGCGAGUACUGAUGCACAUUAAUCCAGCCGGAGAAAAGAUUAAAAUAAAGUACAUGGUGUAUCUAUAUAUGUGAUGAGUGCCUAGGACAAGAUAACAUGGAGAUACGUCCCUGCAGGCAUCAUUAAUGGAUAGUUCUCAUCAGUGGUGAGUCUGUUGUUUCAAUUUGAUUGUUUACAAUGCUAAACAGCACCAAAUAUAUGAAAAGAAUUAUUGAUUUAAUACGUUUUUUUCCAGAAAAGAUUUACUUACAACUUAAAUAAGUGCCAAUUCUGAAUGUAUGUAGUGCCAGACUUAAAUAGUCAUUUAGGAAUUAACAAAACAGCUAAAACUGUUUACAUUUAAUAUGACACUGGCCAUAGACUAUUGUUCAAGUGCCAUGAUCAGCACAGGAAUGUAUGGGGCUGCCAUAUUUUAUUGAAAAUAACUACAACUAAUUUUUACUGGGCUUUGUACUUACGAAAAAUAAUUCCACCCAGCAGUACGUCAGAUCUUACUUCUUUUGUUCAGUGGGACACGCAGAACAAGGCACUAAGGACUAAGAGCAAGGUGUUUUAGGAGGGCAAAAGAUGAAGUCGUGUUCAGAGUUCCCGUCUAGCAGUAAAUUAAAACCGUUUUAAUACCAUUAUCACCAGGAUUAACGCUUUACAGGUUUAUUUUUCCUGGCAUUUUCUUUUAUUGUAUUAUACAAAUUCUCAGUUUCUGAAAAAAACAAAAAAAAACAAAACACAGGUUUGAAAUUUCAACAAUUGCUGAAUGAAACUACUGAUUCAGUACAUCUUGAGUAUUCAGUAGGUUAUACAUGCUACCUGAAUGUUUCACGUGUCGUUUUAGUGGGUUAAACUGCAAAAGCGGAUACAGCGUGUAACUGCAUUGACUCAACAUCAGAAAAUA